UAGAAAGCACAAUGGAUUUGUGGGUGCAGAUCUUCAGCUUCAUGCUGAUCAGUGUCACAGGGUCCAGGGCAGAUAUUGUGCUUACACAGUCUCCAGCAUCCAAGGCUGUAUCUCAGGGGGAGAAGGUCACCAUCACCUGUAGUGCCAGCUCAAGUGUAAGCACAAGUCGUUUGCACUGGUACCAACAGAAGCCUGGAGCUGCCCACAAACUCCUGAUUUAUGGAACAUCCAACCUGGCUUCUGGAGUCCCAACUCGCUUCAGUGGCAGUGGGUCUGGGACUUCUUAUUCUCUCACAAUCAGCAGCAUAGAAGCUGAUGAUGUUGCCACUUACUACUGUCAGCAGUGGCAUAGUAGCCCGACCCACAGUGAAAUAGACUGGAACAAAAACUCUUAA